AUGAGAAGCAAGAAGAAGGUUGGUUAGUGUUUUGGAGUCGAAUAUGACUUGAUGUCAUGUGUAUGAUUGAGAAAAACAACUUAAACCGCAACCCGAUCUUAAGAGCCUAAGUAGUGUUUCCUUGUUAGAAGACACAAAGCCAAAGACUCAUAUGGACUUUGGCUACACCAUGAACGCUUUGAGAAGCAAGAAGAAGGUUGGUUAGUGUUUUGGAGUGAAUAUGACUUGAUCUCAUGUGUAUGAUUGAGUAUAAGAAUUUUAACCGCAACCGGAUCUUAAAAGCCUAAGUAGUGUUUCCUUGUUAGAAGACACAAAGCCAAAGACUCAUAUGGACUUUGGUUACACCAUGAAAGCUUUGAGAAGCAAGAAGAAGGUUGGUUAGUGUUUUGGAGUCGAAUAUGACUUGAUGUCAUGUGUAUGAUUGAGUAUAAGAACUUAAACCGCAACCGGAUCUUAAAGGCGUAAGAAUUGAAUCCUUAUUAGAAGACACAAAGCCAAAGACUCAUAUGGACUUAGGCUACACCAUGAAAGCUUUGAGAAGCAAGAAGAAGGUUGGUUAGUGUUUUGGAGUCGAAUAUGACUUGUUGUCAUGUGUAUGAUUGAGUAUAACAACUUAAACCGCAAGCUGAUCUUAAAAGCCUAAGUAGUGUUUCCUUGUUAGAAGACACAAAGCCAAAGACUCAUAUGGACUUUGGCUACACCAUGAAAGCUUUGAGAAGCAAGAAGAAGGUUGGUUAGUGUUUUGGAGUCGAAUAUGACUUGAUGUCAUGUGUAUGAUUGAGUAUAAGAACUUAAACCGCAACCCAAUCUUAUAAGCCUAAGUAGUGUUUCCUUGUUAGAAGACACAAAGCCAAAGACUCAUAUGGGCUUUGGCUACACCAUGAAAGCUUUGAGAAGCAAAAAGAAGGUUUGUUAGUGUUUUGGAGUCGAAUAUGACUUGAUGUCAUGUGUAUGAUUGAGUAAAAGAACUUAAACCGCAACCGGAUCUUAAAGGAGUAAGAA
rnacentral:sRNA from 1 species